GACAGAGGAUGCAAGCGUUAUCCGGAAUGAUUGGGCGUAAAGCGUCUGUAGGUGGCUUUUCAAGUCCGCCGUCAAAUCCCAGGGCUCAACCCUGGACAGGCGGUGGAAACUACCAAGCUGGAGUACGGUAGGGGCAGAGGGAAUUUCCGGUGUAGCGGUGAAAUGCGUAGAUAUCGGAAGGAACACCAGUGGCGAAAGCGGCUUCCUGGUCCAGCACCGACGUCAGGCACGAAAGCGUGGGGAGCAAACAGG
rnacentral:rRNA from 1 species